rnacentral:lncRNA from 1 species
CUUCCGUGCUUGGAGCCGGGGCCGCUCAGGAGGUGCUGGGAUUGGCCGGUGCAGACGUGGAGCUGCAGUGCUGGACCUCAGGGGUCCCCACGCCCCAGGUGGAGUGGACCAAGGACAGGCAGCCUGUCCUUCCGGGAGGCCCUCACCUGCAGGUCCAGGAGGAUGGCCAGGUUCUCAGGAUCACCGGCAGUCACGUGGGGGAUGAGGGACGAUACCAGUGCGUGGCCUUCAGCCCAGCGGGUCAGCAGGCCAGGGACUUCCAGCUCCGAGUUCAUGCGCCCCCCACUAUCUGGGGCUCCAACGAGACAG